CCUACGGGUGGCAGCAGUGGGGAAUUUUGCGCAAUGCUCGUAAGAGUGACGCAGCGACGCCGCGUGAAUGACGAAGGCCUUCUGGUCGUAAAGUUCUUUCGACAGGGAAGAAAAUGCCUAUAAGUAACUGUGUAUGUAUUGACGGUACCUGUAUAAGCAGCCCCGGCUAACUCCGUGCCAGCAGCCGCGGUAAUACGGAGGGGGCGAGCGUUGUUCGGAAGGAAUGGGCGUAAAGAGCACGUAGGGGGGGUUGUAAGUCAUUAGUCAAAGACUAGAGCGCAACUUUAGUAGGGCUAGUGAUACUAUAGUACUAGAGUAUCAGAGAGGAAUGCAGAAUUCGUGGUGUAGCGGUGAAAUGCGGAGAUAUCAGGAGGAAUACCGUUAGCGAAGGCGGCAAUCUGGCUGGAAACUGACGCUGAGGUGCGAAAGCGUGGGUAGCAAACAGGAUUAGAUACCCUAGUAGUC
rnacentral:rRNA from 1 species